rnacentral:rRNA from 1 species
UACGUAGGGGGGCAAGCGUUGUCCGGAAUUAUUGGGCGUAAAGCGCGUGUAGGCGGCCAGAUAAGUCCGCUGUGAAAUCUCGAGGCUCAACUUCGAGCUGUCGGUGGAAACUGUCUGGCUAGAGUCCGGAAGAGGAGAAUGGAAUUCCUGGUGUAGCGGUGAAAUGCGCAGAUAUCAGGAAGAACACCCGUGGCGAAGGCGGUUCUCUGGGACGGUACUGACGCUGAGACGCGAAAGCGUGGGAGCGAACAGG